rnacentral:lncRNA from 10 species
UUCUCAUUUCACAGCUGGAGAGGUGGAGACAGAAGGAUAGUCCUGAGAAGAGGGAGACAUUUUCUUCCUUUCCUCUGGACUCUGUCAUAUUCAAAUCAUAAAACAGAAAGCACAGGAAAGGUCUCUGAGCAUUGUUAAACUCAAGGUAGCAGGGAUCAGCACUAAGGGAAGGAAAGGUUAUUGUGGGUUUGGUGUGUUGUAAAAUUUAUGUUCAAAUUUUUUGGGGGGAGAUGGUGGAUAGUCAAUUUCUUUUUAUUUUCAUACGCCCAUUAAAAAAAAGGUGGAAUUUCAGAAAUAAUCUAAUGCAAGCUUCAUUUUGCAUGUAAGGAAAUUGAGGCCCAAAGUGAGAACUUGUUAAACAGGCUGUGACGGGGAUGCUGAAGCCCCCUGCUCCUAGUGGCAUUUAGGCCAUGCUGUCUGCCACCCUUCAACCUGCUUCACAUGCUCUGGGGACUGAGACUCCAGGCAAAGGCACAUCCAAGGGUGAUGCUGCCUUGGGUUAUCGUGAGAGUCUGGCUAGAGGCCGGACUUCUCUGCAAAGUUUGAGAAACGUAUUGAAAUUAUCAAGACUUGGAAGGCAGCCGUCAUUUGCACCGAGCUUUCACCGCCUUACCGAGUUCCUAGACUUUAACUAUUCAGGGUUUAGCCAGCCCAUUGUAUUAGUCUCAUCAGAAGCCCUGCAAUCUUAGGCCUGUCCCCUAGGCCCAGGGUGAGGUUUCUGGGAGGUAUGGGAGCAAUCCUGGCCCCACAGACCCCCAACAACUGCCCUAGGGGAGAGAGGAUUGUGGGAAACCUCCCUGGCCCCUGCGCUGGGAGGGCACAGGCUGGGGGAGUUGGAUGCUGCUCUCAGGAUGUCUUUAGGUAGGAAGACGGGCCAUCCACAGAGAACUAUGGCCUACGAGAGCUUCUGUGGAGGUCAGUGCAAGACAGUCCCUUUCUACACAAAUGAUUCAUUGCUGGAAACUUCACAUAAUUACACA